CAUCACUGUCUCUCUGAAGACAUCAUGUUUCUCUUUAACUGGAUAAUAAUUCAACUUUGCAUGGGAAAUUCUUUUGGUGACACAAUACAACCAUGGUUUCCAGAAAAACAUGAUUCUGAUGGUGAAAAUGUGACUCUGUCCUGUAACUACAGUCUCACUAGCGGCACUAGUGUUACUAUCCAGUGGUAUCGCCAGUAUCCCGGAGCAAAACCAGAGUUUUUACUUUUUGUCACUGAAUAUUCUAGCAAAUCUGUGCCUGAACUACGUCUAUUUUCAGAAGCUAAAAAAGAAAUCAAACGUGUGGAUCUGGUGAUCUUCUCUGCUGCUGUAUCAGACUCUGCUCUGUACUACUGUGCCCUGCAGCCCACAGUGUCAGGAAACUCAUGUCCUCAGCACAGGACAGGAUUGAACAGACUUCAAGAGAAAUGA